rnacentral:lncRNA from 1 species
GGGUGGACAACGGUGUGUAUCAAAUGACACCCUGUUUCCUAUAUAGUGCACUACUUUUGACCAGAGCUCAAUGUCGCUGGCCAGAAGAAGUGCCCCCUUGGGUAUAGGGUGCGAUUUACGACACAUUCACAGACAGGACGGAAACCCCUGGGUUACAGUAACGUUUCAUUGUGUACAGGUCGGGUUCUUUUAUGGUCAUGCGACUGUGGGUUGCCAUCAGAUCUUUUCUUCUUCUCUAGUAUUUUGUGAAAGAUUUCCUGUCCACUGCCUCUGAACUGACAAGAUUACCGCAGAGAAAGAGGGAGGGGAAAAAAAGAGAGAGAGAGAGAGCGAAAGACAGAGCACGAAAGAGAGCGAAAGAGAGGAUUGUUCACAGCUUUGUGGAAGUUACCUGUGAUGCUGAUGGUUAGGCCAAGGCCGGUGGUGGCUGGUCCAUUCCAGAAGUCUGAGGUGCGGGAGGUUCCUCCGCCCCCUCUAGACAUCGAGGGUGCCCCGGCAUAUUCAGUUCGAUCUAUACUGGACUCGAGGCGUUGGGCAAGGGGCCUUCAGUACCUUGUGGAGUGGGAAGGGUACGGUCCGGAGGAGAGAUGCUGGGUUCCGGUGGAGGACGUGUUGGACCCUUCAAUGCUGCGGGAGUUCCACAGUCUCCAUCCAGAUCGCCAAGCACCUCGCCCUCCGGGUCGUCCCCGAGGUCAAAGGGGGGUACUGUCAUGACUUCCGCCGAAGUCGGUUCCUCUCCUUGUUCGGGCGGCGCUCGGCGGUUGACGGUCUUCUAGCCAUCGCCGAUCCACUUUUCAUUUUCCAUUGGUUUUGUCUUUGUUUCCCACACACCUGGUUUUCAUUUCCCAAUUACUAGUCAUGUAUUUAACCCUCUGUUUCCCCCAUGUCUUUGUGUGUGAUUGUUUAUUGUUCAGAUCGGUACGUUUCCGGCUGGUUUUUUCCGGGUGCUGUGUUCACCCGUGUUUUGUGGCAACCAUUA